rnacentral:lncRNA from 1 species
GAGAAUAUGCUCAAAAGAUAACGUCAAGAUAUAGUCAAAUGCUUUUAUCCCUAACUUUUGCAUGGAAUUUUUUAUUCUUUUUGUCCACCGGGAUGUCAUUUUUGCCUAAGUCGCCCUUUCGGGUUUUCAACUUAGCAGGCUUGUAUAUUUUUUUUGUUUAAUCUCUAACUUUUGCAUAGACAUUUCUUUUUUUGGUUCCAUCCAGAUAGACAUUUUUUCCUAGAUUGGUUUUGAUGGAUAUCAAUCUACCGGGCUUUGUAUUCACUUUUUUUCUAGGCAUAAGCAUCAGAAAGUCAUCCCCAUCCAUUAUGGUGAGAAUGAGAUCCCCUCCUGAGAAUUCCUUUUUGACAACAAAGGGUUCUUCAUAGUUGGGAGUCCA